UUUUUAAAAAGACUUCCGCAA
rnacentral:piRNA from 1 species